GCCAGUGUGGUAUAGUGGUUUGCAUGUUAAACUAGGACUGUGAAACCAGAGUUCAAAUCCAUAUUCAGCCA